AUGACGACGAUCUGGACGGAGGGCUGGCCGACUGGAUCUGAGCGGAGGGUCGUGUCGGGGUCGCGGCAGAGCAGUGGGUUGCAAGCACGACGUGGAGAUGGAGCUGUCGGAUGCGGUAGCGGACGGCUGACCGCGAGAUUCGUCGGCGCGGGUUGCGUGGAGGGAGCUUCGUCGGGCUUCAUUGGAUUCGCGUUCGUGGAGGACUGGGGCGAGCAGUUAACUCGAUUCGGUGUGGUUGUUUUGGUUGAAUUUUUGUUGUUUUCUAAAUCUCCUUCUGCAAAACAAAAAUAA